rnacentral:rRNA from 1 species
AUGAACGCUAGCUACAGGCUUAACACAUGCAAGUCGAGGGGCAUCAGGAAGAAAGCUUGCUUUCUUUGCUGGCGACCGGCGCACGGGUGAGUAACACGUAUCCAACCUGCCCUUUACUCGGGGAUAGCCUUUCGAAAGAAAGAUUAAUACCCGAUGGCAUAAUGAUUCCGCAUGGUUUCAUUAUUAAAGGAUUCCGGUAAAGGAUGGGGAUGCGUUCCAUUAGGUUGUUGGUGAGGUAACGGCUCACCAAGCCUUCGAUGGAUAGGGGUUCUGAGAGGAAGGUCCCCCACAUUGGAACUGAGACACGGUCCAAACUCCUACGGGAGGCAGCAGUGAGGAAUAUUGGUCAAUGGGCGCUAGCCUGAACCAGCCAAGUAGCGUGAAGGAUGAAGGCUCUAUGGGUCGUAAACUUCUUUUAUAUAAGAAUAAAGUGCAGUAUGUAUACUGUUUUGUAUGUAUUAUAUGAAUAAGGAUCGGCUAACUCCGUGCCAGCAGCCGCGGUAAUACGGAGGAUCCGAGCGUUAUCCGGAUUUAUUGGGUUUAAAGGGAGCGUAGGUGGACUGGUAAGUCAGUUGUGAAAGUUUGCGGCUCAACCGUAAAAUUGCAGUUGAUACUGUCAGUCUUGAGUACAGUAGAGGUGGGCGGAAUUCGUGGUGUAGCGGUGAAAUGCUUAGAUAUCACGAAGAACUCCGAUUGCGAAGGCAGCUCACUGGACUGCAACUGACACUGAUGCUCGAAAGUGUGGGUAUCAAACAGGAUUAGAUACCCUGGUAGUCCACACAGUAAACGAUGAAUACUCGCUGUUUGCGAUAUACAGUAAGCGGCCAAGCGAAAGCAUUAAGUAUUCCACCUGGGGAGUACGCCGGCAACGGUGAAACUCAAAGGAAUUGACGGGGGCCCGCACAAGCGGAGGAACAUGUGGUUUAAUUCGAUGAUACGCGAGGAACCUUACCCGGGCUUGAAAGUUACUGACGAUUCUGGAAACAGGAUUUCCCUUUGGGGCAGGAAACUAGGUGCUGCAUGGUUGUCGUCAGCUCGUGCCGUGAGGUGUCGGCUUAAGUGCCAUAACGAGCGCAACCCUUAUCUUUAGUUACUAACAGGUCAUGCUGAGGACUCUAGAGAGACUGCCGUCGUAAGAUGUGAGGAAGGUGGGGAUGACGUCAAAUCAGCACGGCCCUUACGUCCGGGGCUACACACGUGUUACAAUGGGGGGUACAGAAGGCAGCUAGCGGGUGACCGUAUGCUAAUCCCAAAAUCCUCUCUCAGUUCGGAUCGAAGUCUGCAACCCGACUUCGUGAAGCUGGAUUCGCUAGUAAUCGCGCAUCAGCCAUGGCGCGGUGAAUACGUUCCCGGGCCUUGUACACACCGCCCGUCAAGCCAUGGGAGCCGGGGGUGCCUGAAGUUCGUGACCGCAAGGAGCGACCUAGGGCAAAACUGGUGACUGGGGCU